CUACGUAGUGAGCGAGCGUUAUACGGCAUUACUGGGCGUAAAGGGCGCGCAGGCUGCGCUUCAAGUCGUCUGUCACACAAUAAGGCUCAACCUUAUUUUGCAGACGUUACUGUGGCUCUGGAGCAGCACCGAGGCAACCAGAAUUCAUGGUGUAGCGGUGAACUGCGUAGAUAUCAGGAAGAAUACCAGUGGCGAAGGCGGUUUGCUGGCUGCAUACUGACGCUGAAGCGCGAAAGCCAGGGGAGCAAACGGGAUUAGAUACCCCGGUAGUCCUGGCAGUAAACGAUGUAUGCUGGGUGUGAGACUAGCGAUAGUUUCGUGCCGAAGUUAACGCGAUAAGCAUACCGCCUGGGGAGUACGGUCGCAAGAUUGAAACUCAAAUGAAUUGACGGGG
rnacentral:rRNA from 1 species